rnacentral:rRNA from 1 species
AUGUACAGGCAUACCACCCUGAUCAUGCUGGAUCUCAUCUGAUCUCAGACGCUAAGCAGGGCCAGGCCUGGUUAGUACUUGCAUGGGAGUCAUGUCUUAAUCCUUCGAAGAAUGUUUCAUUAUAUU